ACUAGAAUUAUGAUCUUUCCAUAAGUGGCCAUUUCUUUGUCUAAACUAGAGACCAAGGUUUCCCUCAACUUUUUUUUCUAAAUGUCACCCUCAGCAUCAGCUACAAAAUUAGCACUCAAUAUGUAUAUUCCGUAAAUGAAUAAUUGAGAGACUAUAUGAGAGUGCUUCAGAAGUUUCAAGGAAGAAUAGAGUUAAAAGGGAACUGCUAUUCUGACUUUUAUACUGGAAAGAAUGUUAUUUGCAAGAGUUUUGAUAAUCUGUCGUAUAAAUACCAAGGACAUAUCUAUCUCCAAGCAAUUUUUAAAUGAUCAAAUGUAGCCACCUCCCAUCACAUGGUUGGCCGUCUAACCCAUUUUCACUGUAUGUGAAGAGAAGCAGAUACGUUUACAAUUCACCUCCUGUUUCACAUCCAAUGCCACAUUAAAGCUGCCUGUUGUCCCUCCGUGAUUUUCAAGGCACUUGAAGAAUGAACCCACCACAAGAAGAAAUAUAAGCCUCAUAACCCAAAUCAGAAUAGCUUAGAGCAACACAAAGGCUAGUAGGAACAUGCAGUUUUCAAAUCAUGUAACUGGCAAAGCCUGGGUCCUUUCUUUUGGCUGUGUGCAAAACAAAGAAAAUGUCCCAUAGUGUUAUUAAUACAUGCUUUUGUUUCAUACUAGCAGAGGUGGCCUGCAUUUUUAGCACAGCUGGAUUAAUUUGCUGUUAUUUUUCUCUGUAUAAAGCAAAUGGCAGGAUGUAAAAUAUUUUACUGUUUUUCAUUGGUUGUGAAUGGCAGCAAAAAUUUGGAGCACCUUAUUCUCACUUUCAUCCCAGAUUAUAAGGAUUGCUAUGAUAAUGAUAAUGGGUAUCUCAGAAGAGCUAGCUUUUUAUUUUUUAUUUUAUUUAAGGAAUACAAACUUCAUGUUUUUCAUAUAUACAAAUUUUGGAACAUAGUGAACCCCAUCUCCCUCCUGCCUAUACUCCCACCCUUCUUCCUCCUCCCUCUCCCAUUCUCAUGCAUACUUUUUAGAAAGAUCUACUUCGUUAACUUUACAAUGAUAAGAUUAACCCUACACUAAGUAGAAUUCAACAAAUAGUAUGAAGAAAAAAGGAAUAAAACGAACACAAACAAUAAGUAUUGUUCCUCAACUGUUAAGACAAGGGCUACUCAAAAUCAUUGCAUCACAAAGUGUCAAUUUCACUCCUAUAGAUUACCUUUUAGGUAUACUACUAGUUACCACAGAUCAGAGAGCAUAUGGUUACUUGUCUUUUUGGGACUAGCUUAUUUCACUGAGUAUAAUUAACUUAGUUGCAUUCAUUUUGCUACAAAUGACAGGAAUUC